UACACAAUGGAAUUAGUUGACCCGCGAACAUGACGUGGCGCUGUGACGUCGGAUCCGCCGUCCGCCUCGAGCUUGUGUUUACAGUAAGAUUUGGCGGGAGAAGAUUAGACGCUCCGCUUUCGGAACAUUUUUUGGAACGCGUUCUAUUGCGAGCCGCUUGCGUCAAUGGCGGCGACUGCGUCUGCAGCUCCCGCGGAGUCUGAGUUGGACCGCAGCGGAGCAGAGGACGAGCCCCGAAGCGCCGAGCCGGAGGAGGACGGAGGGAACGGGCAAGCUGGGCCCAUCGCAGCCGCGCAGCAGCACCGUCUCGCCAAGCUACCGCUGUCUCGCAUCAAAGCUCUGAUGAAAGCCGACCCGGAUGUGAGUCUGGCCAGUCAAGAGUCUGUGUUCAUCAUAGCUAAAGCCACGGAGCUUUUUGUUGAAAUGAUCGCCAAGGACGCUCUUGUUUAUGCACAACAGGGAAAGAGAAAAACCCUUCAACGUAAAGACUUGGACAAUGCUAUUGAAGCAAUAGAUGAGUUUGCGUUUUUGGAAGCCUCAUUUUUCCAAGAACUGUAAGCCUAAAACCAAACAAUAUUCUGCCAUGGAGUCAGAUUAUAUGUGACCACGAAGACCUUUGAUUCUAGGAAUUCAGAAAUGAAGGCAGUUGGUACCCUGGACUGACUGAAAAGGUGCAAAAAUAUGAAUAUGAAGACUUUCAACAAGUUCUGAAAUUUCAUUUCAGAUUUGAGAACUCAAACGAGAAGAAAGAUCGCUUGAACAGGUUAUUUUUUCAUUGUGAUGUUGGUAAUGCUUGAGCAGUUUGAUAAAAGUGUACAGUUGUCAAGGUUGUAAAGUACCA